GACGAACGCUGGCGGCGUGCUUAACACAUGCAAGUCGAACGCUGAAGCUCAGCUUUUGUUGGGUGGAUGAGUGGCGAACGGGUGAGUAACACGUGAGUAACCUGCCCCCUUCUUUGGGAUAACGCCCGGAAACGGGUGCUAAUACUGGAUAUUCACUGGUCUUCGCAUGGGGGUUGGUGGAAAGGGUUUUUCUGGUGGGGGAUGGGCUCGCGGCCUAUCAGCUUGUUGGUGGGGUGAUGGCCUACCAAGGCUUUGACGGGUAGCCGGCCUGAGAGGGUGACCGGUCACAUUGGGACUGAGAUACGGCCCAGACUCCUACGGGAGGCAGCAGUGGGGAAUAGUGCACAAUGGGCGCAAGCCUGAUGCAGCGACGCCGCGUGAGGGAUGGAGGCCUUCGGAUGGUGAACCUCUUUCGCUCAUGGUCAAGCCGCAACAAUGGUUGUGGUGAGGGUAGUGGGGAAAGAAGCGCCGGCUAACUACGU
rnacentral:rRNA from 1 species